AUCGCUUCUCGGCCUUUUGGCUAAGAUCAAGUGAAGAAACUGAUCAUAUGAUCAGAAAAUGUCAUAUUUGAAUCUAGUGUCUAAGAUGAUUAAAGAUAGGGUAAAAAUCAAA
rnacentral:snRNA from 1 species